rnacentral:rRNA from 1 species
AACGUACGCUGGCGGCACGCCUAACACAUGCAAGUCGAACGAAGUAGCAAUACUUAGUGGCAGACGGGUGAGUAACAUGUGGGUAUCUGCCCUUUGGCCUGGAAUAACACGAGGAAACUUGUGCUAAUACUGGAUAAGUCUUUACGGAGAAAGCUUUAUGCACCAUUGGAUGAGCCCGCACUUGAUUAGUUUGUUGGUGGGGUAAUGGCCUACCAAGACUUUGAUCAAUAGCUGAUUUGAGAGGAUGAUCAGCCACAUUGGGACUGAGACACGGCCCAAACUCCUACGGGAGGCAGCAGUGGGGAAUCUUGCACAAUGGAGGAAACUCUGAUGCAGCGAUGCCGCGUGAGUGAAGAAGGCCCUUGGGUUGUAAAGCUCUUUCGUCGGGGAAGAAAAUGACUGUACCCGAAUAAGAAGGUCCGGCUAACUUCGUGCCAGCAGCCGCGGUAAUACGAAGGGACCUAGCGUAGUUCGGAAUUACUGGGCUUAAAGAGUUCGUAGGUGGUUGAAAAAGUUGGUGGUGAAAUCCCAGAGCUUAACUCUGGAACUGCCAUCAAAACUUUUCAGCUAGAGUUUGAUAGAGGAAAGCAGAAUUUCUAGUGUAGAGGUGAAAUUCGUAGAUAUUAGAAAGAAUACCAAUUGCGAAGGCAGCUUUCUGGAUCAUUACUGACGCUGAGGAACGAAAGCAUGGGUAGCGAAGAGGAUUAGAUACCCUCGUAGUCCAUGCCGUAAAAGAUGUGUGUUAGACGUUGGAAAUUUAUUUUCAGUGUCGCAGCGAAAGCGAUAAACACACCGCCUGGGGAGUACGACCGCAAGGUUAAAACUCAAAUGAAUUGACGGGGACCCGCACAAGUAGUGGAGCAUGUGGUUUAAUUCGAAGAUACGCGCAGAACCUUACCAACACUUGACAUGUUCGUCGCAACUUUAAGAGAUUAAAGUUUUCGGUUCGGCCGGACGAAACACAGGUGCUGCAUGGCUGUCGUCAGCUCGUGUCGUGAGAUGUUGGGUUAAGUCCCGCAACGAGCGCAACCCUCACUUUUAGUUGCCAUCAUUAAGUUGGGCACUCUGAAAGAACUGCCAGUGAUAAGCUGGAGGAAGGUGGGGAUGACGUCAAGUCCUCAUGGCCCUUACGUGUUGGGCUACACACGUGCUACAAUGGUAUCUACAACAGGAAGCGAAACAGCGAUGUUAAGCAAAUCCUUAAAAGAUACCUCAGUUCGGAUUGCACUCUGCAACUCGAGUGCAUGAAGCUGGAAUUACUAGUAAUCGUGGAUCAGCGUGCCACGGUGAAUGCGUUCCCGGGUCUUGUACACACCGCCCGUCACACCAUGGGAGUUGGUUCUACCUUAAGGCAAGGUUUAAUACCCUUGACCACGGUAUAGUCAGCGACUGGGGUGAAGUCGUAACAAGGUAGCCGUAGGGGAACCUGCGGCUGGAUUACCUCCUU